UUAACUCAAAUUUGUAUGGAAUUGGAACGUUUGCCUUCGUUUGCCGCUAGGGGCGCUGCUCCAACUGCAUACAAAUUUCAGUCA
rnacentral:pre_miRNA from 1 species